UGGGGAKUCCGGAUUCAAGGUUUAGAAAUAGACUUUUCUUCGGACAAUUUCAAGGUGCUGCAUGGUUGUCGUCACGCUCGUGCCGUGAGGUGUUAGGUUAAGUCCUGCAACGAGCGCAACCCCUGUCACUAGUUGCUAGCAUUAAGUUGAGGACUCUAGUGAGACUGCCUACGCAAGUAGAGAGGAAGGUGGGGAUGACGUCAAAUCAUCACGGCCCUUACGCCUUGGGCCACACACGUAAUACAAUGGCCAGUACAGAGGGCUGCUACCAGGUGACUGGAUGCUAAUCUCGAAAGCUGGUCUCAGUUCGGAUUGGAGUCUGCAACUCGACUCUAUGAAGCUGGAAUCGCUAGUAAUCGCGCAUCAGCCAUGGCGCGGUGAAUACGUUCCCGGGUCUUGGACACACCAGAAUUAUCUAUUAAUUGGGUGGUUUAUUUCGACGAGAUUGACAUCGCAACUGUGACUG
rnacentral:rRNA from 1 species